rnacentral:rRNA from 3 species
UGAAGAGUUUGAUCAUGGCUCAGAUUGAACGCUGGCGGCAGGCCUAACACAUGCAAGUCGAACGGUAACAGGAAGCAGCUUGCUGCUUUGCUGACGAGUGGCGGACGGGUGAGUAAUGUCUGGGAAACUGCCUGAUGGAGGGGGAUAACUACUGGAAACGGUGGCUAAUACCGCAUAACGUCGCAAGACCAAAGAGGGGGACCUUCGGGCCUCUUGCCAUCAGAUGUGCCCAGAUGGGAUUAGCUUGUUGGUGAGGUAACGGCUCACCAAGGCGACGAUCCCUAGCUGGUCUGAGAGGAUGACCAGCCACACUGGAACUGAGACACGGUCCAGACUCCUACGGGAGGCAGCAGUGGGGAAUAUUGCACAAUGGGCGCAAGCCUGAUGCAGCCAUGCCGCGUGUAUGAAGAAGGCCUUCGGGUUGUAAAGUACUUUCAGCGGGGAGGAAGGUGUUGUGGUUAAUAACCGCAGCAAUUGACGUUACCCGCAGAAGAAGCACCGGCUAACUCCGUGCCAGCAGCCGCGGUAAUACGGAGGGUGCAAGCGUUAAUCGGAAUUACUGGGCGUAAAGCGCACGCAGGCGGUCUGUCAAGUCGGAUGUGAAAUCCCCGGGCUCAACCUGGGAACUGCAUUCGAAACUGGCAGGCUUGAGUCUUGUAGAGGGGGGUAGAAUUCCAGGUGUAGCGGUGAAAUGCGUAGAGAUCUGGAGGAAUACCGGUGGCGAAGGCGGCCCCCUGGACAAAGACUGACGCUCAGGUGCGAAAGCGUGGGGAGCAAACAGGAUUAGAUACCCUGGUAGUCCACGCCGUAAACGAUGUCUACUUGGAGGUUGUGCCCUUGAGGCGUGGCUUCCGGAGCUAACGCGUUAAGUAGACCGCCUGGGGAGUACGGCCGCAAGGUUAAAACUCAAAUGAAUUGACGGGGGCCCGCACAAGCGGUGGAGCAUGUGGUUUAAUUCGAUGCAACGCGAAGAACCUUACCUGGUCUUGACAUCCACGGAAGUUUUCAGAGAUGAGAAUGUGCCUUCGGGAACCGUGAGACAGGUGCUGCAUGGCUGUCGUCAGCUCGUGUUGUGAAAUGUUGGGUUAAGUCCCGCAACGAGCGCAACCCUUAUCCUUUGUUGCCAGCGGUCCGGCCGGGAACUCAAAGGAGACUGCCAGUGAUAAACUGGAGGAAGGUGGGGAUGACGUCAAGUCAUCAUGGCCCUUACGACCAGGGCUACACACGUGCUACAAUGGCGCAUACAAAGAGAAGCGACCUCGCGAGAGCAAGCGGACCUCAUAAAGUGCGUCGUAGUCCGGAUUGGAGUCUGCAACUCGACUCCAUGAAGUCGGAAUCGC